rnacentral:rRNA from 1 species
GUCCACGCCGUAAACGAUGUCUACUAGCCGUUGGGUGACUUGAUUACCCAGUGGCGCAGCUAACGCAGUAAGUAGACCGCCUGGGGAGUACGGCCGCAAGGUUAAACUCAAAUGAAUUGACGGGGCCCGCACAAGCGGUGGAGCAUGUGGUUUAAUUCGAUGCAACGCGAAGAACCUUACCAGGCCUUGACAUCCCCGGGACUUUCCAGAGAUGGAUUGGUGCCUUCGGGAACCGGUGACAGGUGCUGCAUGGCUGUCGU